UACACUUGCUAAGCUUUCAAAGCAGGAGAUGCCAGUGCCAGAGGUCAAGUGGUCGCUUUUCUGCUUCCUUACACUUCAGAGUAAACACAGAUCAUUCUUUUAAAUCAGGCACUCAUGUUUUUCUUACCUGCUUCUGCUGAGCUGAACAGCAAGAGGACAGCAAGAACAAGGAGGGGCUUUCUCUUCGGAUCAUCAACCAUCUUCCUGUUAGUCCACUACAAGUACAAGGAUUGUACAGGGAAAAAUAGCCGUGGAAAACUUCUGACUUCAGAAAUCAGCUAGUGGAACCAGUCCCAGCAAGUGACAGAGUUACAGUGCUUUAUCCUUGCCCCCUAGACCUGUCUGUCAAGUUCUGACUGCGGACACUGAUUUGUCACAAGGCUUCACAGUAAGUCCAUGCCAGGAAGAUUCAUGCCAGCCUUGCGUCUGUGUAUUUUCCUAUUGCAUUGCUGUCUUUUUCCUGUAUUUCUACUUUUGGUCAGAUUUCUGUAGCUGCCAAAAGAAGGCAAAGCAAUGGAUUACUUCUGAAAAGUGAGGGGAAAGACAGGCUAAAAUGUAACUGGUGGCUAUGUCACUGUAAUACACUCAGAUUGUGCAUUUCUUAGGGUGGGCACACUCUCCACUUUUCCUUUAGAGACUGCAUUUCAGAUAUUACGGGAAAUAAAAGGAUGAUGCCAGUAAUGCACCAGUAUCACAAGCAUGCAAAUACUUCAAACAGAUCUUUGAAGAAAAAACUUUACUGCUUUGGUGUAAACAGACGGAGAAGCAUAAGUGCGCAACCAAACGUGUAACCCCCGGUCUGCCACACAACGUUCAUGAGGUGGUGGUACCAUCUCCCCGGCUGUGUUAGACUUUCAGG